UCUUGCUUGUUAUUCCAGGAAAUUAUUUAUUCUGAUUUUAAUUUCUCUAAGGGAAUUAUUUUUAUCACCGAGAGCAGUAUCAGUUAUAUUAGAAUAUUUUAGAUUAAUUUCUUACAUGAAACCUACCAAAACUUGAUAAUGGAGGCUUUUAUUCGGCUGAUGAUUCCGUUCUCAUUGCUGUGCAUCCUGUGCAGGCUGCAUAUCAGAGUGUACACAGGGAAGUCACAGCCCUGGGAAAUUCUCAUCAAAAACCAGUGGUUCAUCCGAACGAAGUGGGUGGAGCUUCAAGGUGACAGUUCAGAGAAAAUUUAGCAUGCAGCAAUUUAAAAUUAGAAGCCCUUGAUGAAAGAUGAGACCUGUUUUAAGCCACUUGGUGAGCCCCACCUUUUAAAGGCAAGAUUGGACUCCAGAGGGCUGCUGAACAGUCACGGGAGGACAGUCUGUCUCCUCCCAUUCGGUGUGUGUGACUGUGUUAAAUAAAGCUGUGACCUCUGAUUAUCACCCGGGCAUUUCCACUGGCAGAGUGCCAUGGAAUAGCACAUAUUUGUCAAGCAGUAGGGGCUGGAUUCAGAGACUGUCUGAGCUUCUAACACUGCCUACUGUGUAUACUGUAAAUACAGUAAAAGCGACAUUUUACCUGGGUAGCAGGUAAGCGAAAUCGCUGUGAUUCCUGGGCAUCACUGCUCUUUCACACAUUACCUGUUUCAUGAAGUCCGUGCCUGUUACUUAAAUGAUCAUGUGACCAGGCAAUGGGGAGAAGAAAUAUCAUCUAGUUUCUUAUAAUCACCCAUGUAUAUAAGAUUCAUGCUACUAUUUAAGGGAAGGUCUUUCUUUCUUUCUUUCUUUCUUUCUUUCUUUCUUUCUUUCUUUCUUCCUUUCUUUCUUUCUUUCUUUCUUUCUGUCUUUCUCUCUUUCUUUCUCUUUCUCUUUCUUUCUUUCUUUCUUUCUUUCUUUCUUUUUUCUUUCUUUCUUUUGUUUUUUGUUUUGUUUUGUUUUUUCGAGACAGGGUUUCUCUGUAUAGCCCUGACUGUCCUGGAACUCACUUUGUAGACCAGGCUGGCCUCGAACUCAGAAAUCCACCUGCCUCGGGUUCUUAUUUCUAACAAUUUUAUUUCUUUAUCUAGAUGCUUACAUGUGACUAAAUGUGGCCUAGUGCAUAUAUGUGGAGGGCAAAGGACAUGUAUAUGUGGCAGUCAAUUCUUUUCUUCUACCAUGUUGCCCAGGGUUAGAGAUAUAGAAGUCAGUUCACGGUGCUUAGUGGCAAGCACCUUUCCUGGCUGAGCCAUCUUGCCAGCCCAGAUUUUGUUGUUGCUGUUGUUCUUUGUUUAAGGUAAUAAUAUACUAAAUAUAUUGUACUAAAGUGUUGGCUUCUGUCUUAAAAGUGCAAGGAGGGAUAUAUAAAAUAUGUGACUUUGAAAAAAUGUUUAGUUACGAAUUUUCUGUCUUGAUCACCUGUAAUGACAGCACAACAACAUAUUAUUCAAAGUUCACAGGAAUCGUCACUAGUCUAUGCAUAUUGUGCCUCAAUAAAUGAAGGUGGAAAGAUGGCUGAGUUAAAGAAAAAUCAGUAGGAGACAGAAGUAUGUGUCUUAGAUUUAAAUGCUUUUAUUUACUUAAUGACUCAUAAGCAAAUGCCCUUCCUGCCCCAUGUUAACUCAUGGAAAAUAAAUCUCAUUCCUACCCCAGAAGGGGCCACUCUGGACAUCAUGUGACUCCAAACGCUGGACACGGAUUAUUGGAGCAAAUGGGGACCUGGGUAGCCUGAAUGAUAAUCAAGACAAGGACUAAGAUUUUAUGGACUUAGGAAC
rnacentral:lncRNA from 1 species